AGUCCCGCAACGAGCGCAACCCCUGUUCCUAGUUGCCAGCAUUCAGUUGGGCACUCUAGGGAGACUGCCGGUGACAAGCCGGAGGAAGGCGGGGAUGACGUCAAGUCCUCAUGGCCCUUACGGGUUGGGCUACACACGUGCUACAAUGGUAACUACAGAGGGCAGCGACUUAGCGAUAAGUAGCCAAUCCCAAAAAGUUAUCUCAGUUCGGAUUGCACUCUGCAACUCGAGUGCAUGAAGUUGGAAUCACUAGUAAUCGUAGAACAGCAUGCUACGGUGAAUACGUUCUCGGGCCUUGUACACACCGCCCGUCACACCAUGGGAG
rnacentral:rRNA from 1 species